CCUGAUCAGCCAUGCCGCGUGUGUGAAGAAGGCCUUCGGGUUGUAAAGCACUUUCAGCGAGGAAGAACGCCUAGUGGUUAAUACCCAUUAGGAAAGACAUCACUCGCAGAAGAAGCACCGGCUAACUCCGUGCCAGCAGCCGCGGUAAUACGGAGGGUGCAAGCGUUAAUCGGAAUUACUGGGCGUAAAGCGCGCGUAGGUGGCUUGAUAAGCCGGUUGUGAAAGCCCCGGGCUCAACCUGGGAACGGCAUCCGGAACUGUCAGGCUAGAGUGCAGGAGAGGAAGGUAGAAUUCCCGGUGUAGCGGUGAAAUGCGUAGAGAUCGGGAGGAAUACCAGUGGCGAAGGCGGCCUUCUGGACUGACACUGACACUGAGGUGCGAAAGCGUGGGUAGCAAACAGGAUUAGAUACCCUGGUAGUCCACGCCGUAAACGAUGUCGACCAGCCGUUGGGUGCCUAGAGCACUUUGUGGCGAAGUUAACGCGAUAAGUCGACCGCCUGGGGAGUACGGCCGCAAGGUUAAAACUCAAAUGAAUUGACGGGGGCCCGCACAAGCGGUGGAGCAUGUGGUUUAAUUCGAUGCAACGCGAAGAACCUUACCUACCCUUGACAUCUACAGAAGCCGGAAGAGAUUCUGGUGUGCCUUCGGGAACUGUAAGACAGGUGCUGCAUGGCUGUCGUCAGCUCGUGUUGUGAAAUGUUGGGUUAAGUCCCGUAACGAGCGCAACCCUUGUCCUUAUUUGCCA
rnacentral:rRNA from 1 species